UAAUCUGCGAUAAGCGCCGGUAAGGUGAUAUGAACCGUUAUAACCGGCGAUACCCGAAUGGGGAAACCCAGUGUGAUUCGUCACACUAUCAUUAACUGAAUCCAUAGGUUAAUGAGGCGAACCGGGGGAACUGAAACAUCUAAGUACCCCGAGGAAAAGAAAUCAACCGAGAUUCCCCCAGUAGCGGCGAGCGAACGGGGAGGAGCCCAGAGCCUGAAUCAGCAUGUGUGUUAGUGGAAGCGUCUGGAAAGGCGCGCGAUACAGGGUGACAGCCCCGUACACAAAAGCGCAUGUGCUGUGAGCUCGAUGAGUAGGGCGGGACACGUGGUAUCCUGUCUGAAUAUGGGGGGACCAUCCUCCAAGGCUAAAUACUCCUGACUGACCGAUAGUGAACCAGUACCGUGAGGGAAAGGCGAAAAGAACCCCGGCGAGGGGAGUGAAAAAGAACCUGAAACCGUGUACGUACAAGCAGUGGGAGCACCCUUUGGGUGUGACUGCGUACCUUUUGUAUAAUGGGUCAGCGACUUAUAUUCUGUAGCAAGGUUAACCGAAUAGGGGAGCCGGAGGGAAACCGAGUCUUAACCGGGCGUUAAGUUGCAGGGUAUAGACCCGAAACCCGGUGAUCUAGCCAUGGGCAGGUUGAAGGUUGGGUAACACUAACUGGAGGACCGAACCGACUAAUGUUGAAAAAUUAGCGGAUGACCUGUGGCUGGGGGUGAAAGGCCAAUCAAACCGGGAGAUAGCUGGUUCUCCCCGAAAGCUAUUUAGGUAGCGCCUCGUGAAUUCAUCUCCGGGGGUAGAGCACUGUUUCGGCUAGGGGGCCAUCCCGGCUUACCAACCCGAUGCAAACUGCGAAUACCGGAGAAUGUUAUCACGGGAGACACACGGCGGGUGCUAACGUCCGUCGUGAAGAGGGAAACAACCCAGACCGCCAGCUAAGGUCCCAAAGUCAUGGUUAAGUGGGAAACGAUGUGGGAAGGCCCAGACAGCCAGGAUGUUGGCUUAGAAGCAGCCAUCAUUUAAAGAAAGCGUAAUAGCUCACUGGUCGAGUCGGCCUGCGCGGAAGAUGUAACGGGGCUAAACCAUGCACCGAAGCUGCGGCAGCGACACUGUGUGUUGUUGGGUAGGGGAGCGUUCUGUAAGCCUGUGAAGGUGUGUCGUGAGGCAUGCUGGAGGUAUCAGAAGUGCGAAUGCUGACAUAAGUAACGAUAAAGCGGGUGAAAAGCCCGCUCGCCGGAAGACCAAGGGUUCCUGUCCAACGUUAAUCGGGGCAGGGUGAGUCGACCCCUAAGGCGAGGCCGAAAGGCGUAGUCGAUGGGAAACGGGUUAAUAUUCCCGUACUUGGUGUUACUGCGAAGGGGGGACGGAGAAGGCUAUGUUGGCCGGGCGACGGUUGUCCCGGUUUAAGCGUGUAGGUGUGUGUUCCAGGUAAAUCCGGUUCACUUUAACACUGAGGCGUGACGACGAGGCACUACGGUGCUGAAGCAACAAAUGCCCUGCUUCCAGGAAAAGCCUCUAAGCAUCAGGUAACAUCAAAUCGUACCCCAAACCGACACAGGUGGUCAGGUAGAGAAUACCAAGGCGCUUGAGAGAACUCGGGUGAAGGAACUAGGCAAAAUGGUGCCGUAACUUCGGGAGAAGGCACGCUGACACGUAGGUGAAGUGAUUUACUCAUGGAGCUGAAGUCAGUCGAAGAUACCAGCUGGCUGCAACUGUUUAUUAAAAACACAGCACUGUGCAAACACGAAAGUGGACGUAUACGGUGUGACGCCUGCCCGGUGCCGGAAGGUUAAUUGAUGGGGUCAGCGCAAGCGAAGCUCCUGAUCGAAGCCCCGGUAAACGGCGGCCGUAACUAUAACGGUCCUAAGGUAGCGAAAUUCCUUGUCGGGUAAGUUCCGACCUGCACGAAUGGCGUAAUGAUGGCCAGGCUGUCUCCACCCGAGACUCAGUGAAAUUGAACUCGCUGUGAAGAUGCAGUGUACCCGCGGCAAGACGGAAAGACCCCGUGAACCUUUACUAUAGCUUGACACUGAACAUUGAGCCUUGAUGUGUAGGAUAGGUGGGAGGCUUUGAAGUGUGGACGCCAGUCUGCAUGGAGCCGACCUUGAAAUACCACCCUUUAAUGUUUGAUGUUCUAACGUGGACCCGUUACCCGGGUUGCGGACAGUGUCUGGUGGGUAGUUUGACUGGGGCGGUCUCCUCCUAAAGAGUAACGGAGGAGCACGAAGGUUGGCUAAUCCUGGUCGGACAUCAGGAGGUUAGUGCAAUGGCAUAAGCCAGCUUGACUGCGAGCGUGACGGCGCGAGCAGGUGCGAAAGCAGGUCAUAGUGAUCCGGUGGUUCUGAAUGGAAGGGCCAUCGCUCAACGGAUAAAAGGUACUCCGGGGAUAACAGGCUGAUACCGCCCAAGAGUUCAUAUCGACGGCGGUGUUUGGCACCUCGAUGUCGGCUCAUCACAUCCUGGGGCUGAAGUAGGUCCCAAGGGUAUGGCUGUUCGCCAUUUAAAGUGGUACGCGAGCUGGGUUUAGAACGUCGUGAGACAGUUCGGUCCCUAUCUGCCGUGGGCGCUGGAGAACUGAGGGGGGCUGCUCCUAGUACGAGAGGACCGGAGUGGACGCAUCACUGGUGUUCGGGUUGUCAUGCCAAUGGCACUGCCCGGUAGCUAAAUGCGGAAGAGAUAAGUGCUGAAAGCAUCUAAGCACGAAACUUGCCCCGA
rnacentral:rRNA from 1 species